GGGCGGUUAACUCAGCGGCUAGAGUGCCGGUUUUACACGCCGGGAGUCAAAGGUUCGAAUCCUUUACCGCCCACCA
rnacentral:tRNA from 1 species